rnacentral:rRNA from 1 species
GGGGAAUUUUGGACAAUGGGCGAAAGCCUGAUCCAGCCAUGCCGCGUGCAGGAUGAAGGCCUUCGGGUUGUAAACUGCUUUUGUACGGAACGAAAAGCCUCUUUCUAAUAAAGAGAGGUCAUGACGGUACCGUAAGAAUAAGCACCGGCUAACUAC